UACGUAGGUGACAAGCGUUGUCCGGAUUUACUGGGCGUAAAGAGCGCGCAGGCGGUCGUUCAAGUCGAGUGUGAAAGCCCCCGGCUCAACUGGGGAGGGUCACUCGAUACUGAUCGACUCGAAGGCAGGAGAGGGUAGUGGAAUUCCCGGUGUAGUGGUGAAAUGCGCAGAUAUCGGGAGGAACACCAGUUGCGAAGGCGGCUCUCUGGACUGUAACUGACGCUGAGGCACGAAAGCGUGGGGAGCAAACAGG
rnacentral:rRNA from 1 species